UGUGCUGGGUACUUCAUUCUCAGCAUUCUCCAAAUCUCAAGUGUGAUGAAGAACUCAGAAUCUGUGUCUCCAUUUCCACCACUUAGCCUUUUUCAUCCAAAGGGUUUCUGCAUGGACUUUAUGCAGAGCCAGUGUCUUAGAGUAAUAUCCUUUUCUUUCAGCUUGGGACUUUGGUGGUGUCCUUUGGAUGGUGAUAUAGGUCUUCCUUUGUGGCCACCCCCCACACCUAAUGUGUGUAGAGAUACAGAGGGAGAGUGCUUGAGGGUAGUCGAAGCCAGUGGUUAGGGGAGGAUCCUGCCUCCUGUGUGGGAGAAGAAGAGGGGAUGAUAGACAUGUGCCCCUCUUUGAUUUGACCCAUGCCCAUUGGGUUGCAGAACUUGGACUCAACUUCCUAUCCCGUUGCUUUUCUCACCUGGUCACAGUCACCCACCAAGACCGAGGGGCUGCCCUGUCCACAACCAAAUUCCAAGGAUUGGAGGUCCUCAAGAAUACUGCCCAGGGGUGAACCAACUGCUCUUCAGAGUGAAAGCAUCUUUAACAGCCAUAAAAGGAGACAGGUCCUGAAGAAUACUGCAAAUGGGUGAACUGUCUGUGCUUCAGAUGAAGGCAUCUGUAGCAGCCAAUGGUUGGAGUUCUGCUGUCUAACUAUUACCAUGACAACUCCAGGCUUUCAAGCACCAAGUCAUCAGUGACUGUGGUCAGUGCAUCCUUUUGUGUAUCAGAAACUGAAUGCUUUCAGUUAGAAUGGGAGCAGCGUGAAAACUUUCCACCAAUCCCUGGUUUGUCACUGAGUAAUUGACAGACUCACUGUGCCUAGGGGGGACCAAGAUAUAAUUUGACAAAGCACAGAGGACGGGGCACCUGGGUGGCUCAGUCGGUUAAAUGGCUGACUCUUGAUUUCAGCUCAGGUCAUGACUUCAUGGUUGUGAAGUCUAGCCCCACAUAGGCUUUGUGCUCACAGUGUGGAGCCUGCUUUGGAUCCUCUGUGUCCCUCUUUUUGCCCCUACCCCACUCAUGCUCUCUCUCUCUCUCUCUCUCUGUGUUUCUCUUUCAUCAAAAAUGAGAAAUAUUUAAAAACAAGUUUCAAAAAAAGAAAGAAAAUCAGUGAUGGAAUGGGAAUGGACAUAUGGAGGGCCAAAGUUCUUCCUUUCCUAUGAGAAAGGGAUCAAGCAGAGAAUAGAAUGACUAGUAUAAUCUAUUUGAAGCUGGCUGUCUUCAGAAUAAGAAGCACAUCUGCACUGGGGAAAGGUAAAAACACCACUGGUUUUACCUAGAAGCUACUCCAGAGGAAACCUUCAUCUGGAAUUCAAGUGAGAAUGGGGUACAACUAAACAUGUAAUGUAUGGCUCAGUGUUUUCUUGUUGCAGAAGGAGGACUGGUUUUCUCCUAACUCCUCUCAACCUGCCUACAGGCAAACAUUCCAUGCUGGGCCCCUCAAAUGCACUAGGUUUCCUGAUGUAUGUAUGGUUAUAAAACACAUGUGGUGCGAGGCCCCAUGGCCCAAAGUAUCCCAGAGUCCAGAGAACUUGACCCAAGCCCUCAGUUAAAAUGAGCCAGAAUUGGUUUUAAAAUCUGGCCCCAAACGCCUACCAGAGGAAACCUAGUUUGAAAAAAAGAACAAAAAUGGACAUGGAUACACAGAGGCCCAAAGUUCUUUCUUACAGAGGAGAAUUGGAUAAAGCAAAGAAUAAAGUGACUAACAUAA